ensembl:miRNA sha-mir-200c sha-mir-200c
CCCGGGCCUGCCUCCCUCGGGCUCUCCUGGCCCGGCCUCGGGCAGGUGGGACGGGUGCCCCAUCUUACCCAGCAGUGUUUGGGUGCUGCUUGGACGUCUCUAAUACUGCCGGGUAACGAUGGAGCUCCUUUCCUUGUGACGCCUCCUAUG